CUACGGGCGGCACCAGUGGGGAAUAUUGCACAAUGGGCGAAAGCCUGAUGCAGCAACGCCGCGUGGAGGAUGACACAUUUCGGUGCGUAAACUCCUUUUAUAUAGGAAGAUAAUGACGGUACUAUAUGAAUAAGCGCCGGCUAACUCCGUGCCAGCAGCCGCGGUAAUACGGAGGGCGCAAGCGUUACUCGGAAUCACUGGGCGUAAAGAGCGUGUAGGCGGAUAGAUAAGUUGGGAGUGAAAUCCUAUGGCUCAACCAUAGAACUGCUUCCAAAACUGUCUAUCUAGAGUAUGGGAGAGGUAGAUGGAAUUUCUGGUGUAGGGGUAAAAUCCGUAGAGAUCAGAAGGAAUACCGAUUGCGAAGGCGAUCUACUGGAACAUUACUGACGCUGAGACGCGAAAGCGUGGGGAGCAAACAGGAUUAGAUACCCCUGUAGUC
rnacentral:rRNA from 1 species